rnacentral:rRNA from 1 species
UCAGGCCUAACACAUGCAAGUCGAACGAAGUAGCAAUACUUAGUGGCAGACGGGUGAGUAACAUGUAGGUAUCUGCCCUUUGGCCUGGAAUAACACGAGGAAACUUGUGCUAAUACCGGAUAAGUCUUUACGGAGAAAGCUUUAUGCACCAUUGGAUGAGCCUGCACUUGAUUAGUUUGUUGGUGGGGUAAUGGCCUACCAAGACUAUGAUCAAUAGCUGAUUUGAGAGGAUGAUCAGCCACAUUGGGACUGAGACACGGCCCAAACUCCUACGGGAGGCAGCAGUGGGGAAUCUUGCACAAUGGAGGAAACUCUGAUGCAGCGAUGCCGCGUGAGUGAAGAAGGCCCUUGGGUUGUAAAGCUCUUUCGUCGGGGAAGAAAAUGACUGUACCCGAAUAAGAAGGUCCGGCUAACUUCGUGCCAGCAGCCGCGGUAAUACGAAGGGACCUAGCGUAGUUCGGAAUUACUGGGCUUAAAGAGUUCGUAGGUGGUUGAAAAAGUUGGUGGUGAAAUCCCAGAGCUUAACUCUGGAACUGCCAUCAAAACUUUUCAGCUAGAGUAUGAUAGAGGAAAGCAGAAUUUCUAGUGUAGAGGUGAAAUUCGUAGAUAUUAGAAAGAAUACCAAUUGCGAAGGCAGCUUUCUGGAUCAUUACUGACACUGAGGAACGAAAGCAUGGGUAGCGAAGAGGAUUAGAUACCC